rnacentral:rRNA from 1 species
UACGUAGGGCGCAAGCGUUGUCCGGAAUUAUUGGGCGUAAAGAGCUCGUAGGCGGUUUGUCGCGUCUGCUGUGAAAUCCCGAGGCUCAACCUCGGGCUUGCAGUGGGUACGGGCAGGCUAGAGUUCGGUAGGGGAGACUGGAAUUCCUGGUGUAGCGGUGAAAUGCGCAGAUAUCAGGAGGAACACCGAUGGCGAAGGCAGGUCUCUGGGCCGAUACUGACGCUGAGGAGCGAAAGCGUGGGGAGCGAACAGG